UCCUAUCAGAUCAUGAGAUCUCACAUGUGAUUCUUGGCUGUUCUGAAAAGAAAUGCUGGAAAUUGAUUAAAACCCUUAGAGAGUGUUCUUGCCAGUUAUGAGGCAGCACAGUAGCCCCUUACAAAGAGCUCUUAUUCCUCCUUUCAGUGCCUCCUAGGAAGAAAGGCAUCCUCCACGCUAUACUCCUAACUAUUAGAGACUGUAUAUUUUAUGUAUGGGAUUUUUUUUUAACCUUCUGCAGAAGACUGAUCUGGUGUCAAAGGAGUUGCAAUGGAAAACAGUGAGUACUGUUUGCUGACGUUGCUGGUUGAGCUGUGGUCAUAGGCAGUUGUAUGUUGUGUGUGGACGAUAUUUAAUACUGCAAUCAAAAAGGAGAUGUUCACAUUAAACCAUGAAGUCCGUUGCAAAAUGCUCCUUCUUCUUGUCAUAUUGGCUCAUACAGAGCGGCAGGAAAUGUGGACGGUGCACGAAGCAGGAUGUAGAAACUUUUAAACCCAAGAAUAACAAAUACUACAUCUGCUGACAGCUCAUGUGUGACAUCACCCACAGAGGACAGGAUAGGUACUUUCUAACAACACUAAUUAUUUAUUAUAUUUGAUUUGAUUUGAUUAUUUGCAGCAAUAUUGGAAAAUAGUCAAAACUCAUUCUGGAUAAAUGAGGGGCUUCUUCACUGUUAAUGAUGUCUGUGUGCUGCAAUGUAACAUGAACAACAUCGACAACAUCUAUUCUACGCUCUCCCACCACAAACCCAGUUUACUACCUGACCACCUUGACGCUCCUCCGGUUGCCCCUCCUGCCCUCUCCUCCUUCUCUCCUCUCCAUUGCUGAUGUCUCCAGUUUACUGUUGAAAUCAACUGCUGCCACAUGCCCCCUGGACCCCUGGCUGACUAACCUUGUCCGUCGCUAUGCUUCUGAUAUUGCUUCCUCCAUUAUGCACACUCUCAACCUGUCCCUGGUCCCUGGUCUCAGUUCCUGCUGCCCUUAAGCACAACCCAACAUACCUGUCAGUGAGAUAUAUUCUUCAUUUAUUACCGGGUUGUUUUUGUCUUAUUAGUCCAAAGUGGUCAUGACUUCAACUUGUUCUUUGGCUGGAAGUUUGAGAAUGCACAAAUUGACCUAGUUAGCAAUGCCCAGAGAGGACAGGAAUUUAAUAAUAAAUAACAAGUGUUGAGAGAUAUGGCAUUGAAUACGUUUUUUGUAUUCAGACGGAGCUGUGGGAAAAUGUGGUUGUCAUUUUGGAAUUCAUCUUGCAUUCAUUCAAAUCCAGUGACAGAAUAACCAGACACAUUGCACUGUUCCAAAUUACAGUAACACUUUACAUGAUGUGUCUUUAAUUACUGUGUAUUUACAUAGUAGUUACUUAGUAAAUACAUUAUGCACAGUUACAAUAUACUUAACGUGUACAUUUUUUUGGGAUGAUAUAUGUAAGUACACAAUUGUAUCAGAAGGGUUAGGGUUAAGUUUAGAGACAGGGUUAGGGUUAGGAUGAGGGUUAUAUCAUGCAAAACAAUGUGCACAAUAAGUACAUUGUAACUAUGCACAAUAACACUGUAAUUAUAUGUAAGUACCCAUUUAUUUACUUUGUAACUGCUAUAUACAUACAUAGUAAUUAGAGACACAAUGUAAAGUGUUAGCCAAAUUACGUUGCUAAGCAGAUGUAGAGCUUCAUCGAGGGGAAGUAAUUCUACAAAUACUUCAUGAACAACCAUGAUGAGGAUGCCUGCAAGUUAUUCAGCCAUCUUCAUUCCUGAAAUGAAUGCACGAAGCAUUCUUGAUGCGGCCUCAGUCAAAUUAUAUAAAGAAUGAUUGUAGAUUGUAUAAAUACCGUUAUUUUGCGCCUCCCCAUCAAUUUUAAGUUAGGUAGGUCAACCACCAACAAAGUUAAAAGUCGGUCAUCUUUUGCCAUCGUACCUAACCUAUCUAAUUAUCAUUACAGAAAAAUAUCAGCAAUGCAUCUUUUAUCAAUAUGUCACACUGAAAAAACUGGAAUACAAUAUGCAAUAUUCAUGAUCAAAACAGAAUUUAUUUAAUAAUACCAAAAAGGAUAUCCACAGCAAUGGCUUUUUUCAUCAGUUUAAUUAAGGAACAUAACAGCAUAACAACAUGUUGGGCAUAAAAUGAGUUUCGCUGCAGCAUUAGCCCCAUAUACUGUAAUCAUGUAAUAAUAUAACCUGCUUGUAUCAGUGAUCUGGAACUAUGAGGGCUGCAAAACAUCAAGUAAUAUAAACCCAGUAAUGUGUUAUUUCUUGAAUAUAUUUAUGGAUUAGGCACACAGAGCCAACCCAUUUACUAUUUGAAUGCAGUGAGCUUGUGGCAUGUACAAUGACGGUACUGGUGGGCAGAUAUUCCCAGGUUCAUGUGUUAUUGGUGUCUGCAUCACCCUCCAGGGCUUCAGGAGGGUCAGUCUCAAUAAAAAAUGGGAUGAAGUAGGAAUAAUAAGCCAUUUCUCACUGUUUUUGAAACAUGAGCUUGGCGCACUAGUUAUGUUAAUAGAAUAUGAUUUCAGAUCAGUAUCUGAUUGAUUGCUGGUAACCUUAUGCCAGAAUGCAUUACUUCUUUCUUUUUUCUUUUAAACUGUGUUGGUUUUCAUUCAUUAUGCCUUUUAUUGUUUUUGAGAAAAUAAUACCAGCCACGCUAAGCAAUGGCUAUGUAGUAAUAACAAAGUAAUGAGUAUGCAAUGUCCACAGUUUUAAUAAGUUAUAUUAAGGUAAAGGUUAGAGAAAUAAAAUAACUUCCUGGAAAUGUCUUAUACCAAUCACAAUCAAUUGCUAACACAGAUCGAAGAAUAGUAAGAGUGAAAAUAUCCUUUUGUUUUACUACAAAGGAACAGGAAUAUAAAAUGUUUCUGGAAACACCGAACUGGAAUGCUGAUAUUUCUGUUAAAUAUGUUAAAAGAAUAAAUACAAAUACAAAAGAGAAGCCCAUUGGGUGUCGUUUUUGUU